GGACAUGAGGAUGAUCUGGCUGCAACAUGUUUUACCCAUUGAUGGCCAGGGUUGAUUUGGCUGGCUGGCUGGCUAGGUGGGUGUCCCCUUUGCACUUGGUCAAGUAGAGGAGGACUCAUCUUUGGUCAAGGGUAUCCUGAGGUACUGCACUCUCCUGCAAGAACCUCCAAACAAGCUCUCAAAACCCCAAAUCCCACAUAAAACAGCCACCUGUAACCCCAGUCCCAUAGAGGAGCAGAGACCCAAGAAUCUUUGGAGCCCUGUCAAUUCCAAAAACAGUUUUUGUUGUUGUUU
rnacentral:snRNA from 1 species